rnacentral:rRNA from 1 species
ACACAUGCAAGUCGAGGGGCAGCAUGGCCUUAGCUUGCUAAGGCCGAUGGCGACCGGCGCACGGGUGAGUAACACGUAUCCAACCUGCCGUCUACUCUUGGACAGCCUUCUGAAAGGAAGAUUAAUACAAGAUGGCAUCAUGAGUCCACAUGUUCACAUGAUUAAAGGUAUUCCGGUAGACGAUGGGGAUGCGUUCCAUUAGAUAGUAGGCGGGGUAACGGCCCACCUAGUCUUCGAUGGAUAGGGGUUCUGAAAGGAAGGUCCCCCACAUUGGAACUGAAACACGGUCCAAACUCCUACGGGAGGCAGCAGUGAGGAAUAUUGGUCAAUGGGCGCAGGCCUGAACCAGCCAAGUAGCGUGAAGGAUGACUGCCCUAUGGGUUGUAAACUUCUUUUAUAAAGGAAUAAAGUCGGGUAUGCAUACCCGUUUGCAUGUACUUUAUGAAUAAGGAUCGGCUAACUCCGUGCCAGCAGCCGCGGUAAUACGGAGGAUCCGAGCGUUAUCCGGAUUUAUUGGGUUUAAAGGGAGCGUAGAUGGAUGUUUAAGUCAGUUGUGAAAGUUUGCGGCUCAACCGUAAAAUUGCAGUUGAUACUGGAUAUCUUGAGUGCAGUUGAGGCAGGCGGAAUUCGUGGUGUAGCGGUGAAAUGCUUAGAUAUCACGAAGAACUCCGAUUGCGAAGGCAGCCUGCUAAGCUGCAACUGACAUUGAGGCUCGAAAGUGUGGGUAUCAAACAGGAUUAGAUACCCUGGUAGUCCACACGGUAAACGAUGAAUACUCGCUGUUUGCGAUAUACGGCAAGCGGCCAAGCGAAAGCGUUAAGUAUUCCACCUGGGGAGUACGCCGGCAACGGUGAAACUCAAAGGAAUUGACGGGGGCCCGCACAAGCGGAGGAACAUGUGGUUUAAUUCGAUGAUACGCGAGGAACCUUACCCGGGCUUAAAUUGCAGAUGAAUUACGGUGAAAGCCGUAAGCCGCAAGGCAUCUGUGAAGGUGCUGCAUGGUUGUCGUCAGCUCGUGCCGUGAGGUGUCGGCUUAAGUGCCAUAACGAGCGCAACCCUUGUUGUCAGUUACUAACAGGUUCCGCUGAGGACUCUGACAAGACUGCCAUCGUAAGAUGUGAGGAAGGUGGGGAUGACGUCAAAUCAGCACGGCCCUUACGUCCGGGGCUACACACGUGUUACAAUGGGGGGUACAGAGGGCCGCUACCACGCGAGUGGAUGCCAAUCCCAAAAACCUCUCUCAGUUCGGACUGGAGUCUGCAACCCGACUCCACGAAGCUGGAUUCGCUAGUAAUCGCGCAUCAGCCACGGCGCGGUGAAUACGUUCCCGGGCCUUGUACACACCGCCCGUCAAGCCAUGGGAGCCGGGGGUACCUGAAGUGCGUAACCGCGAGGAGCGCCCUAGGGUAAAACUGGUGACUGGGGCUAAGUCAUAACA